rnacentral:misc_RNA from 1 species
CCCAACCUCCCACCCGUGACUAUUGUACCUUGUUGCUUCGGCGGGCCCGCCAGCGUUGCUGGCCGCCGGGGGGCGACUCGCCCCCGGGCCCGUGCCCGCCGGAGACCCCAACAUGAACCCUGUUCUGAAAGCUUGCAGUCUGAGUGUGAUUCUUUGCAAUCAGUUA